rnacentral:rRNA from 1 species
ACGACUCUCGGCAACGGAUAUCUCGGCUCUCGCAUCGAUGAAGAACGUAGCGAAAUGCGAUACUUGGUGUGAAUUGCAGAAUCCCGUGAACCAUCGAGUCUUUGAACGCAAGUUGCGCCCAAAGCCGUUAGGYCGAGGGCACGUCUGCCUGGGCGUCACG